AGAACUCUGCCACAUGUGUCAAAGCUUCCUUUCUUCUAGGAUGGCUUGAUCAGGAGGCUCUUCAGGUGUGGCUGCCAGCAGUACCAAACUUUUCCUUACAACUUAGCAACUCUAUUCCAGCAAAGUCCCAGGCUAGUCACAUGCCAUGCUAAUUUCUGAAUCUGUCACCAUGACUCUGUCCAAGUCUGGCUUCUGUCGAGCUCUGAAGCCAGAACGUGAAAUUGGCCCCAUGAAACCACAUGGCCCGAAGGACCAAGUCUUUGCAAAACCUAUCAAAUGGAUGGAUGGCUUCAAGACAGCAGAGAACCCACAAGCUUGAAGAGGCCUCCGGAGAGUUCACUCAGGAUAAACGGGGUGCUGGCAUCGUCCUGGUCCUCUCUGUACAGUAACAGUGUUACAGCCCUUAUCUUGGCAGAAUUGAUUUGGAUGGAUCAGAGUGAAUGGAGACCAGUUGAAGGAAGACUGGUUCAAUGGCUAGAGAAUAUGAAUGUUGGUCUUAAGUCCAAGGCCCACAUGUCAAAGACGAGUGCUCUGCUGAUAUCUAGUUGAGUGACUUUGGAAAAGUCUGAGGCCUCGAUUUCCUCACCUGGAAAGUGAAAACACUGGACAUGCUCUUUGACAUUUCAUCCAGCACUGAAAUUUUAUAGUCUUGUGAAAAAUCUCUUCUUGAAAUGUUAUCUUGGGUGGUCUUAGAUUGUGUGUGACUGGAACUGGGGCUGAUUUGUAAAACCCUUGAAUGUGCUUGAAAAUACCAACCCACAGUGUUUUCUUCUCCUGGGAAAAGAACCAAAACUCUUAAAAAAU